rnacentral:SRP_RNA from 1 species
UCCACGCAACCGGGGAGAUAGCGGUGCCCUGUACCUGCAAUCCGCUACAGCAGGGGUGAUGCCAAUCCGAGGGUUUUUCAUUGUGGAGCUGCCCUCUAUAAGUGGCGUUGACGUCUGGGUCUUGCACAACAGAACUCUGUGAACCGUGUCAGGUCAGGAAUGAAGCAGCACUAAGCAGAACCUUUUGUGUGUUGCAAGGGUGCCUGGGCCGAGUUAACUGUAGAGGUAACGUCUGUGGUGGGAAUUCGAAGUGCGGCGCGUGGA